CCUACGGGGGGCAGCAGUGGGGAAUAUUGCGCAAUGGGCGAAAGCCUGACGCAGCGACGCCGCGUGAGGGAUGAAGGUCCUCGGAUUGUAAACCUCUGUCAGCAGGGAAGUACGGUCACUGUGCUAAUCAGCAUUGAAUUGACGGUACCUGCAAAGGACGCACCGUCUAACUCCGUGCCAGCAGCCGCGGUAAUACGGAGGGUGCGGGCGUUAAUCGGAAUUACUGGGCGUAAAGCGCUCGUAGGCGGUAUGUCAAGUCAAGGGUGAAAUCCCCGCGCUCAACGUGGGAACUGCCGUUGAAACUGGCAAACUGGAGUGUGUGGGAGGCUAGUGGAAUUCCAGGUGUAGGAGUGAAAUCCGUAGAUAUCUGGAGGAACAUCAGUGGCGAAGGCGACUAUCUGGCACAUAACUGACGCUGAGGAGCGAAAGCGUGGGUAGCGAACAGGAUUAGAUACCCCUGUAGUC
rnacentral:rRNA from 1 species